rnacentral:rRNA from 1 species
CGAAUAGCCUGACGGAGCAAUACCGCGUGAGGGAAGAAGGCUCUUGGGUCGUAAACCUCUUUUGUCAGGGAAGAAGAAAGUGACGGUACCUGACGAAUCAGCCUCGGCUAACUCCGUGCCAGCAGCCGCGGUAAUACGGAGGAGGCAAGCGUUAUCCGGAAUUAUUGGGCGUAAAGCGUCCGCAGGUGGCUAGUCAAGUCGGCGGUCAAAGACUGGGGCUCAACUCCAGAAAAGCCGUGGAAACUGACAAGCUAGAGGGCGGUAGGGGUAGAGGGAAUUCCCGGUGUAGCGGUGAAAUGCGUAGAGAUCGGGAAGAACAUCGGUGGCGAAAGCGCUCUACUGGACCGCAACUGACACUAAUGGACGAAAGCUAGGGGAGCG